GACGAACGCUGGCGGCGUGCUUAACACAUGCAAGUCGAACGAAGAGCGAUGGAAGCUUGCUUCUAUCAAUCUUAGUGGCGAACGGGUGAGUAACGCGUAAUCAACCUGCCCUUCAGAGGGGGACAACAGUUGGAAACGACUGCUAAUACCGCAUACGAUCUAACCUCGGCAUCGAGGAUAGAUGAAAGGUGGCCUCUAUUUAUAAGCUAUCACUGAAGGAGGGGAUUGCGUCUGAUUAGCUAGUUGGAGGGGUAACGGCCCACCAAGGCGAUGAUCAGUAGCCGGUCUGAGAGGAUGAACGGCCACAUUGGGACUGAGACACGGCCCAGACUCCUACGGGAGGCAGCAGUGGGGAAUCUUCCGCAGUGGACGAAAGUCUGACGGAGCAACGCCGCGUGAGUGAUGACGGCCUUCGGGUUGUAAAGCUCUGUUAAUCGGGACGAAAGGCCUUCUUGCGAAUAGUUGGAAGGAUUGACGGUACCGGAAUAGAAAGCCACGGCUAACUACGUGCCAGCCGCCGCGGUAA
rnacentral:rRNA from 1 species